rnacentral:tRNA from 1 species
GAGUUUAGCUCAGCUGGUAGAGCGUCUGCCUUACAAGCAGAGGGUCAGCGGUUCGAGUCCGUUAACUCC